GUGAGCGUAGCUCAGUCGGUAGAGCACAGGAUUGUGGCUCCUGAGGUCGCGGGUUCAAAUCCCGUCGCUCACCCCA
rnacentral:tRNA from 1 species